GAUGAACGCUGGCGGCGUGCCUAAUACAUGCAAGUCGAGCGAACAGACGAGGAGCUUGCUCCUCUGACGUUAGCGGCGGACGGGUGAGUAACACGUGGAUAACCUACCUAUAAGACUGGGAUAACUUCGGGAAACCGGAGCUAAUACCGGAUAAUAUAUUGAACCGCAUGGUUCAAUAGUGAAAGACGGUUUUGCUGUCACUUAUAGAUGGAUCCGCGCCGCAUUAGCUAGUUGGUAAGGUAACGGCUUACCAAGGCAACGAUGCGUAGCCGACCUGAGAGGGUGAUCGGCCACACUGGAACUGAGACACGGUCCAGACUCCUACGGGAGGCAGCAGUGGGGAAUCUUCCGCAAUGGGCGCAAGCUUGACGCAGCAACGCCGCGUGAGUGAUGAAGGUCUUCGGAUCGUAAAGCUCUGUUAUUAGGGAAGAACAAAUGUGUAAGUAACUAUGCACGUCUUGACGGUACCUAAUCAGAAAGCCACGGCUAACUACGUG
rnacentral:rRNA from 1 species